rnacentral:rRNA from 1 species
CUAUAGACUACACGGUAAAUAUUUUAGUUGGAUAACUGAGGUAAUUCUUGAGCUAAUACACGCUAUUUAUACCACAUUAGUGGUGCGUUUAUUUGAUUAAACCAUUUAUACUGGUUGACUCAAAAUAUCCUCGCUGAUUUUGUUACUAAAACAUACCGUAUGUGUAUCUGGUUUAUCAACUUUCGAUGGUAGGGUAUUGGCCUACCAUGGUUGUGACGGAUAACGGAGAAUUAGGGUUCGACUCCGGAGAGGGAGCCUGAGAAACGGCUACCACAUCCAAGGAAGGCAGCAGGCGCGAAAAUUACCCAAUUUUAGUUAAAAGAGGUAGUGACGAAAAAUGACAACCAAAUAUUAUUAUUAAUAUUUGGAUUGAAAAUCUUCAAGUUUAAAUAACUUGUUGGUAAAGGAAAGGGCAAGUCUGGUGCCAGCAGCCGCGGUAAUACCAGCUUUCCAAGUGCAUAAAAUGAUUGUUGUGGUUAAAAAGCUCGUAGUUGGAUUAUAAAGAUUGUAUAAUGAGCAUCUUGGAUGUUAUUAAUCAUUAUCAUCUUAUAUUUUUAUUAUAUUAGAAAUAAUAUAAUAACCUGUUACUUUGAAUAAAUCAGAGGGUUUAAACCAGACAUUAUAUGUUUGUAUGGUCUAGCAUGGAAUAACACUAUAGAAAAAUUUAGUGUGGUUUCACUUAAUUUUUCAUGAUUAAUAGGAACAAACGG